AUUAAUAUAAGUAGCUAAAUAUAUAUAUAUAUAUUUGCCAAUUAAGGAUAUUACUAACUGAUGAAUUAUAUGGUAGGUAUAUAUACUGGACUAGAUGAUUGGUUACAGCUUUUACAUUAAUGCUAGCAAGACAAAUCUUUGUUUGGCUUGCUUGCUUUGUUUGCAUCAAUGUUUGCUCAAGCAUAGCAAUUAAGAUAGGUGGGGCUUCAGCUUGUAUACAUCAUACUUAAAUUUUAUUGGACGUUAUGUUUGAGGUUAAGGACACCAAAUUUUAAAACAUCACAGGAUGACAAUAUAAAGCGCAAUCGUAGAAAUGGAAGCAAAAAAAAAAAAAUAAAAAAAUUUCGAAGAUGUGCAUUUUCAGCAUCCAACUUAAAAGACUGUCGUCAAGUACUUUUAGAAAAACAAAAUAGCUAUUCGAACACACCUACUCUGAUUUUGUGAUUCAUUACAAAGGUAUUUCUUUUGACC
rnacentral:lncRNA from 1 species